GAUGAACGCUGACAGAAUGCUUAACACAUGCAAGUCAACUUGAACUUCGGUUUGGGUGGCGGACGGGUGAGUAACGCGUAAAGAACUUGCCUCACAGCUAGGGACAACAUUUGGAAACGAAUGCUAAUACCUGAUAUUAUGAUUAUAUGGCAUCGUAUAAUUAUGAAAGCUAUAUGCGCUGUGAGAGAGCUUUGCGUCCCAUUAGCUAGUUGGAGAGGUAACAGCUCACCAAGGCGAUGAUGGGUAGCCGGCCUGAGAGGGUGAUCGGCCACAAGGGGACUGAGACACGGCCCUUACUCCUACGGGAGGCAGCAGUGGGGAAUAUUGGACAAUGGACCGAGAGUCUGAUCCAGCAAUUCUGUGUGCGCGAUGAAGUUUUUCGGAAUGUAAAGUGCUUUCAGUUGGGAAGAAAAAAAUGACGGUACCAACAGAAGAAGUGACGGCUAAAUACGUG
rnacentral:rRNA from 1 species